CGGGUCGCUCCAGCAGUGAGGAAUAUUGCACAAUGGGGGAACCCUGAUGCAGCAACGCCGCGUGGAGGAUGACGCAUUUCGGUGUGUAAACUCCUUUUAUAUGUCAAGAAAAUGACGGUAGCAUAUGAAUAAGCACCGGCUAACGCCGUGCCAGCAGCCGAGGUAAUACGGAGGGUGCAAGCGUUACUCGGAAUAACUGGGCGUAAAGGACGCGUAGGCGGGUUGGAAAGUCAGGUGUGAAAUCCUACAGCUUAACUGUAGAACUGCACUUGAAACUUCUAAUCUAGAGUAUGGGAGGGGGAGAUGGAAUUAGUGGUGUAGGGGUAAAAUGCGUAGAUAUCCCGAGGAAUACCUAAAGCGAAGGCGAUCUCCUGGAACAUAACUGACGCUAAGGCGUGAAAGCGUGGGGAGCAAACAGGAUUAGAUACCCUAGUAGUC
rnacentral:rRNA from 1 species